CGUCGAUCCUCUCUACCCGACCCCGUGCUUUCUUCACUUAUUCCCUGCGAUUUCCCGAUCGCCUCCUCUCGCCACCGAAGCUUCACCAUCUUGCCUUCGCCCCGACCCUGAGGAGCACGUCGCCAGAUCUUGAUGGUACCGGCGGAGUCCAAACCAUCUUCAGUCCCGUGAUUGCUUUUACGGCGAUUACUGUGGCCGAUCGUCGAUGGCACGGUGGCUAGGGCACGAUGAAGGACAAGAUUUCACGUCGUCUUCAACCGACCGACCUUCUAUUUUCUCUCCUCGAGCUGCUCAUAGAGCGAUCUGCAUUUUCUCUAGCUGGAUCAGACCGAGCGACAUCAUCGGGAGGUGAUUAAGAGAGGGAAAGGUAUCAGAUCAGACUCAUGCUGGUUUUUCCCCUGAUCAGAUUUUGGACCUCCUCUUCCUUGCUGCUGAUUAAGGUCACGGGAUUAGAGAAGAAGAGGACUUUGAUUCGAGAUGAGCGUCUCGACUUCGGACUUGUUUGAUUCGAUCUUCUUUUGAGGCGGGUACCCUUUGACUUAUCUCUUGAUAGUGUCUUAUGAUAUGUGUAGUAUAUAUAUAACUAGGGGUAAUUGGUAGAUUUAUCAUUUCCCUGGUUUUAGCUUAUUUGAUACCUGUUACAUGCUUCUACUGUUAGCUGCUAUACAUUAGACUUGUAUGCUCUUAUCUCCUGCCAUGCGUAUCUAUGUUCAUAGAGAUAGAUACAUAUAGUACUUCUGCAUACUGGAUUAGUUGCUAUACAUAUUUGAUAUGUGAUCUUGAAUUCAUGUUGCUUAUAUCAUUGUUAUAUAUGCGUUUACCUUUUCGGCACAUAUAUUAUGGAUAAGGAUAUGUUCAUGAUUGACAUGCUGUAGCAUCAUGCACCAUCCUGCAUGCUUGCAUGCUGGGUGAUUAUCGACUCCAUUAUUGUUGAGCACGUCGUCGGCUACAUGGCCUGCACACAAUGUGACUACUGCAUGGGUAGUGGCACAACACUCAGGAUGUGUAUGGCAGUUUGCUCUGUUAGGCACCGUUGGUCCACUCAUGGGUAGUGUAACGCAGCGUGGUAGCGGACAGGGAUCCCUCCUUUGGAUUGUUUCAAGGAGAUGAGAGCAUUGCACUCCCUCACUAUGUUUGAGGUAGGAGGAUAGGUGUACUCUGAUAGUAUCCCGUACAUUCGAUCACUCAGGAACAAUUUUAGCAGAGUGCACGGUUGUCAUAGCCCUACCCACUCGACCUCACCAUCGCAUGUGAGAUGGCUGACUGACGUCAGGGAUGACCAUGUCAUAUUGCAUCAUAUGCACAGAUUACAUUUAUUGUAUCUGAUUGUUAUAUAUUGGAUGUUACAUUUUGAUGAUUGCAUAUGUUUGACAUGCAUACAUGAUACAUUCUUAUUUGGUCUGACUAACUUUACCUGUUGUAUGUUCACAGUUAUAUACUCAGAUAGAACUUGCUGGUGAGUAUAGUUUAUUUCAAUUUUGCAUUGCUUAUUAUUGCUUCAUGAAAUUGUAUUACAUGUCUAUUGUUGGUUUCUACAGUUUAUUCAGUUAUGCAUUUUAUUAUAUGGUUUAGGAGACCGUACUUUAGGUUAUUGCUAGUAGUUAUAUGUUACUGUACAUAUCUAUUGGUUACCUGCAGAGUUCAUUUAACUCACCCCGUUGAUAUUACCAUUUCAAGUUGAGGUCGUUGGGAGAUUCCAAUCACUAGCCCCUUUUAUCGUGACAGAUUCUAGUUUUUAGACUUUUAGUUUCUUGUUGAGUUUUGUUGUACUGUGGACUGUGUGGUUGUAUUUGUGGACUUUAUGUCGAGUAUUUAGGUUUACUACUCUUGUUUUCUGCUGUGGUAUUUACAUUACGUCAUGGAGUUUGUUUUCCUCAUUGUAGUGGAGUAGGUUAUCUGUGAUGAUUUCUAUAUCGUUGUGUUCUUUUAGAAAUAUCUGUUGUCAACUGGAGGCUACAUUAUAAACUGUGUGGAUUGUUUUCUUAUUAUGUAUUGUAUUG